rnacentral:RNase_P_RNA from 1 species
UGAGGAAGACAGGCAAUUGCGGCCUUCACGAAAGUGGGGGACGAGGAAAGUCCGAACUCCGCAGAGCAGAAUGCUGGAUAACGUCCAGUGAGGGCGACCUCAAGGAAAGUGCCACAGAAACAUACCGCCUGACCAUUUAUGGUCGGGUAAGGGUGAAAUGGUAAGGUAAGAGCUUACCGACAGUCGAGUGAUUGGCUGGUCGGGUAAACCCCAUUCGGAGCAAGACCAAGUAGAGGGGAUAGCGGGCCCGGAAGGGUUCGCUAGCAGGUUGCUCGCCUGUCAACCUUCGGGUUGGUUGCUUGAGGCGUCAGGUAACUGACGCCCUGGAUAGAUGAUUGCCGCCAGCAUCGGCGAGAGACGCUGCUGGUACAAAAUUCGGCUUACGGCUUCCUCAACUC